UAUUUAACUUCUGGGUUCUUGUGUAGUCAGCUAUCCUACACUGUUAUCAUUCGUCUGAUCGAUCUGCCCGUCGGGAUUGGCGUGUUUAUGGGCUGUAUUGUGGGAGAUGAAAGCGGCCGUGUGUUAUAAAGUCUGCUCCAGCGACUUCACUUCUCUCAAAGCCGGGAACUUCUCUGCACAGGAAUCAAAUCAGAUUAACCUGAAUAAUGGGUGCCCGGGUUUCAGUCAAGAAUCAGACUCCUUAUACCUGGCACUUUGCCACCCAGGACAAAGGGUUUACACGCGUCGAUCCUUUCAGCGAAACAUCCUACGAGGAGGCCAGGUUAAUCCAUCGCUACAUCUACAUCAGAUAUAAAGAUCACUCAUGGAAUAGCUUUAGGUACGAGUUUAACACCCAUAAAGGUGACACCUCGUUUAUC